rnacentral:rRNA from 1 species
GUAGGUGGCAAGCGUUGUCCGGAAUUAUUGGGCGUAAAGCGCGCGCAGGCGGGUUUUUAAGGUCUGAUGUGAAAGCCCACGGGCUCAACCGUGGAGGGUCAUUGGAAACUGGAGAACUUGAGUACAGAAGAGGAAAGCGGAAUUCCACGUGUAGCGGUGAAAUGCGUAGAGAUGUGGAGGAACACCAGUGGCGAAGGCGGCUUUCUGGUCUGUAACUGACGCUGAGGCGCGAAAGCGUGGGGAGCAAACAGGAUUAGAUACCCUGGUAGUCCACGCCGUAAACGAUGAGUGCUAAGUGUUAGGGGGUUUCCGCUCCUUAGUGCUGCAGCUAACGCAUUAAGCACUCCGCCUGGGGAGUACGGCCGCAAGGCUG